GACAGGUACUCUGGUUAUAGGCUUCUGAUGAUAUUGCUUAAAUAACUUUAAGACCAUACACUUGACUCAGUGAAGAUCUCCAGAAGUCUGGUUGAGAAAUUGAUGGGUUCAUGACACUGCUAACCCAAGAUCCAACAAGACUGGAAUUGAUUACAUGGCACUGAAUGAACUGAUGAAAAUUGAUUAUAAUUUUAUAGCUUUUUGGAGCAUUGCUGGUUCUUUAAUGUUCUAGUUUCUGGAUUUAAGAAAUCUCUUUCUCUUAAUCUAACUGUAACUUACAACAAUUUAGUAGAUUAUACUUUUGUAAACAGAAAUGAAGCAUUUAUCUUUUUUCCCUGCCUGAUUUUUCCAGAAUUUUGAAAUCCUUACUGAAUACUCUUAUUUUCACGAUGAUAUAGUUGUUAGCAAAAGUCCAAUAAGAAUCUAUUCACCUUAUAACAGGACAUAAUUGGAAAUUUUGGUUAUAUUAUCAAGGUUUUUACUGGAAUAUAAUAUUUAGGAAGUGUACCUAAGAUCAGUUAUGACCAGCAAUU
rnacentral:antisense_RNA from 1 species